UGGGGGAUAUUGCACAAUGGGCGAAAGCCUGAUGCAGCGACGCCGCGUGGGGGAUGAAGGCCUUCGGGUUGUAAACUUCUUUUGCUCUGAACAAGGCAUGCUAAUGGGUGUGUUGAGUGUAGGGGUUGAUUAGCGCCGGCUAACUACGUGCCAGCAGCCGCGGUAAUACGUAGGGCGCGAGCGUUGUCCGGAAUUAUUGGGCGUAAAGGGCUGGUAGGUGGCUGGUUGCGUCUGUCGUGAAAGCUCAUGGCUUAACUGUGGGUUUGCGGUGGGUACGGGCUGGCUUGAGUGCAGUAGGGGAGGCUGGAAUUCCUGGUGUAGCGGUGGAAUGCGCAGAUAUCAGGAGGAGUACCGGUGGCGAAGGCGGGUCUCUGGGCUGUUACUGACACUGAGGAGCGAAAGCAUGGGGAGCGAACAGG
rnacentral:rRNA from 1 species